rnacentral:lncRNA from 1 species
GAUACCCCUUGAGAGUGGUAUCACCAAGCUGAAAAUAACCAAUUCCAAGCUUAUUAAGGGAGCUGGAGCCAGUCUGCUUGCUAACUGAGUGUGGAUGCCCUGUGUUUCCCCCUUUUCAGAAUUUGUUAUUUAAUGUACAUGUGUAUUUCAGAAUUUGUUAUUUAAUGUACGUAUUCCCUGUAGGUGUCAGGGUCAGAGACUAGAGAGUGGGCUUGCUCUUCACUGCCUGAUGCCAAGUGUCUUGUGCAGUAUGCAGAAGAGAUGUGCCCUCAAUAUUUAUUGAAGGAAAAGAAGGUAGAAGCUGGGGCAUCUAUUGGAGAGUGAGAAUGUAGGUGACAUGAACUGUAGGAUGUGUCUGACUUGUAUAGAGAGUUGGGCUUCGAGUGGUCACAAACAGGGUAGACUUUUCUACUUCUGGAAACCAGAGUAAGACAGGCCAGAGGGAUACGUUCAAACCAGAGAUUCAGUAUCAGACAUUGGCGAACCCCUGGCCCACAAGGCUACUGCCAGAGUUCAGAGGAGGGUGGAGGCUGGGUAGGAGGGAGAGCCAAUGAGGAGAGGCCUUUGGGAACUGUAAAUCAUAUUAACAUGAUAUAAAGUCUGAAAUAGCUAGGCCUGCCUGCCUACCAGACUUCAGGUCAUUGCAAGCCCAAGGUAGAAGCUUUCAAUUAACUUAAUGUCUUUGACCUCUCUCCCUAAGUGCUAGGUACGGUAGCAGAAUGCCUGCAGAUAUACAGAUGUCCUUAGGAAAGUGGGCUUUUGGUUUCUAGUAUCCUGGACCCAAGUUCUUUGAA